rnacentral:lncRNA from 1 species
AUAUAAGAGGGCAUCGGUUGCCUCCUAGAUCAUCAUAAGAGCCUUAUAGCUCUCCAAAUGAUCAAUCAGAUUGAUGGAGCGAUCGUAAGGCUCUAUCUGUGGUAUCUCGAAUUGAGUCGAGAUCGGCUCGUCCAAGAUGCAUCGAGAAAAAGGUGGAGAAGUGUGGAUGCCAAGGUCGUUGGAGGACCCUCAGCCAUCCAACUAAAACUGGUUAAGUCGGC